AGAUACCUACUCAGGGGACUUGAAACGUGUUUCACUCCGAUACUGCCCUGUAAGGUGUGGGUGCCGUCCUGUUUCUAAUGCUCACCAGCACGUUUCCUAUGAUGUAUUUUUUGAAUUACUGUUUAGUCUGAAGCUAACAAACUUCAUGAUCACUCCAUAAGUUCAAUCCAGGGUUGGCACAGGCAGUUCAGCCACAGAGCCUUCACCCCAGCCCAGCAUGAGGUCCGGACAAGAGGCCAGAACCUGCAGAGUAGCAAUGGUGAGAACCCGCAUCCGCCUGGGCUCCAUCUGCCUGAGCUCCAGCAUACUCACCAGCUCUUUCCCGCUAAAACUGACAGCUCUCACAGAAACUAUCUUUAGCAUUGGGAACAAUGUGAACAAAGCUAAACUGUGAGUAAAACAAGCCGUCUAUGUGUGAGCCUCCACUACCAACCAGCGUUCCACACAGAGUAAGACAAGCUGUCCACGUGUGAGCCUCCACUAAAACCAGCAUUCCGCACAGAGUAAGCAUUUGGCUAGUACAGGUCUGCCGUCAGCAGCCUGCACGGCAGGAACACUGGUGGUCGCUAGGACUGGAAAUGGCCGUCUUUGCACUUACCCUUUCAAGUCUGCAAACACAAGGAGCUGCAGUAAGGAAACAGCACUCUGUGGCAGGCUGACUCCCCACGAACCCUGCUGUACCGAGGAGUAACCCUUCUUAGACAUCUCGCUGUCUGUCCCCUUCCAUGUAGCCUGUCCUGCUCUGGGUCCUGUCUGUGUAUGGGCUUCCAAGACAUGUCCAACGCGUAGGAAAUAAACUGACAUGCUCUCCUGUUGACCAUUUAUGUCCCUUUAUCGCAUGGGCCCAGCUAGGACUCUAGGAUGGAAGUGGAACACUGCACCCCUACAUGGGCAGGGGCAGCAGUGCUUCAGAUGGUGUAGCGUCUUCUAAUAGGUGAAGAAGGCAAGGGCUACUUGGGUAGAUGUGAGGUCCUGCUCAGAUCACCACUGUGUUCAGUUGGAUUCAGCUAACUCACCCAGCCUUACUCAGUCAGUCAGAGCCAGGUUCGGCAUGGCUGGUGUAGCACAAGGUGAGAGGGUCACCAUUACAGCUGACCUGAUUUCCAGGGGUCUCUAAGGCUAUCACAGAGCACAUCUCGCUUAGCUUGGCUAAGAUCGACUUUAAUCCUGAAUUUAUUUUUUUUAAAAAGUUGCAUUUACAUGGUUCUAAUAAAAACAAAUACGCAUUUAUGAACUCAUUUCAAAUAAAACAAGCAAGGUCAGCUCAUCAGCAAAAAUACUUUAAAAUACAAUGAAAGAUGACAUCUUCCCUUCCUAAGUGUCUACUCGAGCUAAACAUCAACAUGAAAAGACAAUUACCUGUGUAAUAUGAUGAACAAUUAAUAAAAACUCAAAUAGAGAAAUUGGGGUUCAACCUGAAGAUCCGCAAAGCAAAACAGUCAGCCACUGGCUCUUACCACGACCUCAGUCUGAAAUGGCGAUCCUGCCUCCAGGAAUCUUAGCAGGAGACUGUAUCUGAGAACUGUGUCCUCCUGUUUUAUAAUCCUCUCUAGGCCUGGGGUUAAAGGCAUGCACUGCCUGGUUUCCAUGGCAACUAGUGUGACUACUGGUAUUAAAGGUGUGUGUCACCACUGCCUGGUCUGUAAGGCUGACCAGUGGGGCUGUUUUACUUUCCCGAUCCCCAGGCGAGCUUUAUUAAAAUACAAUGGAAAUGCCACUACAGUAAUAUGCCACCUAUAAAGAAAUACAACUCUAGUAGGAAGGGGAUUUGUGUCCGAUCAGUUGAGGCCCUUGAACCCCAUGCUUUCCAACCUGUAAAUGGAGCCCCUCCUUCACAGGAUGGAUGCAGGGCUCAGGCAGACGAAGUUUAUUCAUAGAGGGCAGGAUGCCUUCAAUUAGGAGAUGGCUUGGAAUGGGGUGGUUUCCCCUGCUAUCUUAAAUCUUUCAUUUCCAGUUACUGCUCGGAACGUAGGUUUCUGAGUAUCUGUCCUAAAAGUCAGUGUUCCUUUAAAGCCUUCAUCUUCCUUGCAGACUCAAUGUGGACAUUCUCAGUUUAGGAUGCGGGAACGAGCCAGGGCUUACAGCAUGUUGUGGAGGACAUGGUGGAAGGUGCUGACGGGACCCCAGCUCUGCAGGCUGCGUCUUUACAGAACACCGCCACCAGCUCUCAAAAUCAGACCUUUGGCGUGUGUCACCUAUGAAACUGACAGCCGGUCAAACAAAGAGAACACGAGAACAGUGGCUGGGCUCCACGCGUGCUCCGUGGACAUCAGGAAGAUCCGCAGACUGAAACCAUGGGUGCUUCUAGAGGCUGACACCCACGUUGAAGAGAUUGCGGACAUUCUGAAAGAACUAGGUGCCAGCAAGACUGUGGUAGCCAGCAUCUUGGAACGCUGUCCAGAAGCGAUCGUCUGCAGCCCUGCUGCGGUUAAGGCCAAAAGGGAACUCUGGCAGAUGGUCUGCAAAAGCGAAGCAGAGCUAAUCCGGUUAAUAGAGCAGUUCCCAGAGCCUUUCUUUACUGUCAAGGACCAGGAGAACCAGAAGCUCAAUGUUCAGUUCUUUCAAGAGCUGGGGCUCAAGAAUGUGGUGAUUAGCAGGUUUCUGACAGCUGCCCCUGGCAUCUUCCGUAAUCCUGUAGCGAACAACAAGCGGAUGAUAGGGUUUCUCCAGGAGAGCUACCUCAAGUUGGGCGGCUCUCCGGCCAAUGCCAAAGUGUGGCUGCUGAAGUUACUAAGCCAAAAUCCAUUCAUUGUGUUGAGUUCUCCCACGGCUGUAGACCAAAUACUAAAAUUUCUUCAAGGGCAAGGUUUCACAGACUCUCAAGUUCUUCAGCUGCUGUCCAGACUGAAAGGGUUUCUUUUUCAACUGCAGCCAGGAAGCAUCCAGAACAGUAUUUCCUUCGCUAAGACGACUUUUGAGUGCACAGACUGUGAGCUGCGGCAGUUAGUUGUGGACUGUCCUUUGCUGCUGUGUUACCCUGCCCCAGUUCUAGAAGAGAGAAUCCAGGCCCUUCUGAAGGAAGGAAUCUCCAUGGCUCAGAUAAGAGAGUCCCCAAUGGUCCUUGAGUUAACGCCACAGAUAGUUCAAUACAGGAUAAGAAAGCUGAACUCCUUGGGCUACAGAAUAAAGGAUGGCCAUCUAACAAGUCUAAACGGAACAAAAAAAGAGUUUGAAGCUAACUUUAGCAAAAUGCAAGCCAAGCAAGGAAGGCCGCUAUUUAACCCUGUGGCACCAUUAGAUGUGGAUGAGUGACGGCGAGCUUCUUUCUGGCAGGGAAAGUGACCGAUUCACAAACAAGCGAGUCAGCUUGUGAGUACUAGGGAGUCUCAGGACCUACUGAGAUUUAAGUUGUGUUCAAAUUACCUCACAACUGAUGGCCUCUGACUCAAUUGCUGCAUUUUAAAAUAUAAAAUAAAUAUAAAUUGUGUUUGAAUAAAAUCAUUGACUUGACCUAUUUCUCCAAAGCAUCACAUAGCUUGAUAGUUCAUAUGGACUGUUCGGAAGGAACUGACGAGGACACACUCUUGUUGGGAGUCCAUGCACACUGUUGGUCCCAGAGCUGCUGGCAAAGUGGAAUUCCUCACCACCAGCCCUGAGGCACCAGCAGGCCAACGACACAGGCCUUCAGAGAGAACCAGCCUCACCUGUGUGUGAAGGAGUGUCUCUACAGGUGUUGCUCAUCCAAAGGGAUGUAGUCAAGCACCUACUUCUACGAACACACACAUCCGUUAGGAACCUAACAAAGAGUCCAGAUGUAUUAAGAUCUGAAUUCUGUCCAGCCUCAGGAAUAGGAAAGAUGGCCACCUUUCCCUGCACAGUAAUGCAAUCAGGAAGGAAUGCAAUCAGACUGUGGGGAGGGGUGUGGAAACGGUCAUUUCAAACUUCAUUCGCAUCUGAAAUGAAUGCGGCUCCCUAGAAAGCAUGAAAAUCUCCCUCAUGUGGUACCACUUCCAGCUGUAGUGUUCCACUUCGUUUCUAAAUCCUGUCCCAAGAUAAACAUGACCCAGAUAAAGACUGGCUCACUUUCAGCUGUACUGCUCGUAACAACUGUAACACUCACUGGCGAUAGCACACGGCCAGCUGACUGUGGAAUGUGCACAGCUUCUGAAACAUACUGAGAAUGCAGCCAGUACCCGUUUCAUUCUCUUAGCAAAUGCAAGUAUCUCACUAUCCAAAUCUGCUCAGCUGCUUAGCUGGGAUCCUGAGUAGCCACAAGUGCUCAGGAAGUUAAGAACACUCACUGUUUACAGUGAGGCUCAGUGUAAGGCAUUACCCAUAGCGCUCAGGACUGUCAAGAAAAAUGUUAAGGCCAGAGGCAGCUUAGUGGCAGAGUGCACACUUCACCUCAGAUUCAAUCACAAGUGUGGGGACCUCCAGAGCUCCAUCCUGGCCGUGAGCAGUAAUGCAUGCACUCACCGCUCUCUCAGAGCAGGUCUGGAAUACGUUACAGGCUCUGUGGCCUUCUACAGUUACCUGCCAACUGUGAGGUGGUUGGUAACAGGCAAAUGACCAAGUGCGGAGCAGCAAGGAGCCAGCAGAGGAGAUAAAGUGAGCAGCGCCGUCUGCAUUACUGUAGCGUCUGAAGCCACAACGCAGAGCACGACAACUCAGAGGUCCGGAAACUCGAUGAUGCACACAGCGGAGUGAGCGCAAGAGCAGCCGCACCCAUGCGGUGCUCCUGUCUUCUCUCACUCCAGACAGCAGAGGUUUACAAAAUACGCAAACACCAUCACUCAGGUAACAGAUCUCUUAUUUGAAAGUUCUAAAAUUGAGCUUUUCUAAGACACAAAGCAUAAAUUCAUCUUUAGACUUUUUUAUUGUUCUACAUUCUAACUGGGAAAAUCUUACUGAUUAUUCUAACUAGUACAUUAGGCAGGAAAUAAAUGCCAGAAUUAACAGUUGGGGCUACAUGAAAUUAAAAGGUUAUUGUACAGCACAAGAAAUACUCAGAAAAGCAACAGCCUCCAGAACAGGAGAACAUCAGACAGACAACUAAUAUCCAGAUUUUGUUUUCUUAAAGUACAAAAAUCAUACACACAAAAAGCAAGAGCCAAUCAAAGUAUUUUAUAUCCUUGGCCCUCUGGAAAAUGCAAAUUAAAAUUUCUGUGAGAUACCAUUUCACCCAAGUCAGAAUGGCUACCAUCCCCACUAAUCAGGCCGAUGCAGUGGUGUAUGCCUUUAAUCCCAACACUCAGAAGGCAGAAGCAGGCUGAUAUAUACCUGCAUAUUUUUAUUUUUCUAAGUACUUAUUUUUCACAUGGACAUACAAAGUAUCAUUAUGGCAUUUGCAAACAAAAUUGGUUCUGAUUUCCCCCAUCAGCAUACAAGUUCACAACCAGCCAAGGCUACAAGAGAGACCCUGUCUCGAAAUAAGCAAACAAAAAUAAGAAACUAAUAGCUGAUGCUAGUGUGGAUGUGAGGAGAGAGAAACCUUUGUUCACUGCUUGAAGGAAUGCCAACCAGUACAGCCAUUGUGGAAAUCAGUAUGGCGGUCCCUCAAGAAGCUAAAAGAGGCCAUCCUGGGCACACAGACUCACAGGCAGCGCGCCCUAACACAGAGCCACUCACAUCCAUAUUCACUGCUUUUCUAUCUACAACAGCAAUGAAAUGGAAGCAGCCUGGAUGCCCAUCAAGAGAUGAUAUUCAAAGUGUUGUGCGUAUAUUAAGUUGUAAAAAGAUGAAAUUACAAACGUGCAGAGAUAUGAAUAGAUUUGGAAAGUAUUAUAUUAAGUGAGAUGACUCAAACUCAGAAAGAAGUAACUGCAUUUCUCUUUCAUAUUUGGAUCCCAGCUUACAGUACAUACAAAUGAGAGGAGAUGCAGAUACAAUCUAAAAACCUAAAAAGGAAAUCAAGAGGGUUAAAGAAAAAAAAGAUGCCGAGGAAAGGGGACAUGAAGGCUAAGUAACUCAUGUGACCGGAAAAACAGACACGAGAGAGGAAAAGGGAGAGUUUACAGAGGACUUGAAAUUACAUCAAUGGACACUAGAAACUUUAGCAUCAGCACUAAAGAAGAGCUGCAGUGACAGUUCAAGUAUUCCUUUGUUGUUUCUACUGUGGAACUUCAACUGAAAUUGCUAGUGAAGAGAGCUGGACAAUAACAAAAAGGAUGAAAAAAUAAGAUCCAUCCUAUGUCUAAGUAUCUGUCCUAUGUCUACAGCCUCACGGUCAACCACGUAUCCAUCCUAUGUCUACAGCUUCACGGUCAACCACGUAUCCAUCCUAUGUCUAAGUAUUCGUCCUAUGUCUACAGCCUCACUGUCUACCACGUAUCCAUCCUAUGUCUAAGUAUCCGUCCUAUGUCUACAGCCUCACUG